UUAAUGCACUGCCUUAAUUUGUUUAAAUUUAAACAAUUAUUACACAUUAUUGGGAUAAACCGUAAUCGUACCCCCUCCUAACUGCCAAAGUGUCAUGGCCGCCGUCGGGACCUAUUGUGCUGACAUUUACAAUGUUUACAUAUAGAAAAGUUUGUUUUUUUCUGCUUAUAAUGCCGUUUUCUAAAGAUAUUAGUGAACAAAAUCGAUUUGCUAACAAUAUUUAAUAUAUUUUAAAUGUGCUAAAAUUGGAUUCAACAGCAAAAGUCGCAUAAAUAACAUAUAAAUAACGAAUUUGUUCACCUAUUACAAAUGGGGUUAUGUGGUUGUAACUGUUUAUUUUGGGAAUAAAAUGAAAAUGAUCAAUUAAACGACUGGAAAACUAUAGUGAAGUGAAGAACAUCUUGAAGUUCCAAUGAUGUUUCAAGAUGAGGUAAAUCGAAAUAAUUGUAUGUUAGAAGGACAGAGAAUAUGAAGAAAUGUUAUUGCUGCAUAUUUAGUGUAGUGAAAUACAAACUUCAAACAUUAUAAUAUAUUUUUUGAUUUCAAACAUUUCAUAUGAUUAUGAAAGAACAUCUUUCUUUUUAAAACAAUGAAGAAGUGAAGAACAUAAUAAAGUUCCAACGAAAAUGAUUCCAGAUGAGGAAAAUCGAAAUAAUGGUUGUAUGUUACAUGUAUAGAGAAUACGAAGAAAUGUUAUUGCUGCAAACUUAGUGUAGUGAAUUAAAAACUUAUUGUCAAAUACAAAUCAAUUUAUUUCAUACUUUUAUAAUAUAUAGUGAUAUAAUUUUAUAUGUGUUCAAAUAAAAAUAUUAAUAAAUAAAAUACAAUAAACACAAA
rnacentral:lncRNA from 1 species